rnacentral:rRNA from 1 species
UACAGAGGGUGCAAGCGUUGUUCGGAAUUAUUGGGCGUAAAGCGCGUGUAGGCGGCUUUGCAAGUCGGGUGUGAAAGCCCCAGGCUUAACCUGGGAACUGCAUUCGAGACUGCAUUGCUAGAGUAUGGGAGAGGGAAGUGGAAUUUCCGGUGUAGCGGUGAAAUGCGUAGAUAUCGGAAGGAACAUCAGUGGCGAAAGCGACUUCCUGGACCAAUACUGACGCUCAUGUGCGAAAGCGUGGGGAGCAAACAGG